CCCAUGCAUUUACAACAACAUACAAAACAAAAAGUGAAGAAAUGAGGAUCAAAACUUCUUCACCACCAAAUUGUGAAAGCCACAUUUUUAAAAGUCCUCACCAGGAGGAGGCCACCAUCUUGGCCUCGGAAACUUGAUACCCUUCCUCUCAGCAGUCUCUAUAAAGUCUGCUUUCCCAUCCUCAAAUCCAAAAACAGUACUGAGCCUAUUCACCAACUCCACCCAUCCUUGAUCACUCUUCUUAGGCGAACCUUCCACAACGUCCGAUGGUGGCAAUGGACUUGCCCUUCUCUCCUCACUACUCUUCUCAUCCACAACGUCCUCGUCUUUCCCCUACCAUCGAUGCUGGCAAUUGACGCUCUCUUCUCCCGUCACCUCCCUCAGCGCUAUACCUGAACUCCUCAAUUCUUUUAGCACUGUGUUUGAGCUUCGCGACAUCCCUCUCAAUUUCAACACUCGAAUCACUCUUGUCGCAUCUAGCCACCUCCAUCGCCCGUGGCAUAUUCAAUUUUCUCCCCAAACCCAUCAAUGGCAACACCGUCUUUCAUCAAGCCACCUAAUGAACCUUCAGCCAUUUUAGAAUCCCUACUGCCUAAAGCAAUAACCUCAUCUCCCUCAGUCUCAUCCAACUCUGUUUCCCCUAACGGAACUGUUUCCUCCAUAGGAACUGUUUCAUCAUCACAUUCCCUCUCAAUUUUACAACUGUCCAAACUCCGGCUUGAAUCAGUCACCCCAAUGCCCUUGGAGCAUUCAAUUUUUUUCCCCAACUCUGAUUUCCGUUGACGGCAUCCGCAUCCUCACCAUUAGAAUCCCCACUGCCUGAAGCAAUAACCUCAUCUGCCACACCCUCAAAUUCCUCUCCGGGCACCACCCUUGCUCUCUUAGUCUCCGGAUAAUCAUCCAAUCCCGCUUCCGAAACCCUAACCUCGGUCGUUCUAUCAGCUAUUCUCACCCCUUCAGCGAACUCCCUAGGGUUUUGGUCCUCAGAGGAGGAGAGAUGAGAAUGGGUGUGAUGCUCCGGCGGGGUGUGGAACACUGCGUCUUCUUCCGGCAUAAGUUGAUCGGCCGUGUUCGCGCUUCCGGGCGCCGAAACCAUGACGAUUUGCUCGGGCGUUUCCUCCGGCGACGGCGAAAACUGGUCGGGGUUCGACUCCAUAAUAGUGUCGGAUUCCCGCGCAAACGGGCAGUUGGGGAAUUUCUCAUUCUGCGAAUCGAUUGGCUCGCAGAGUUUAAUUAGCGACUGAAAGGGAUCUUGUUGGAUCUCUGCUGCGUCCAUAUCAAUGGUCAAUUGUGACUGUGUGAGUGCGCAUUUGAGCUGAGAGAGGUUAGGGUUGUAUUGUAUUGCCAAAAAUUUGGGGCCUUUUUGCUUUACCAGAGAUUCCCGCCUCCGUAUUUGCCUUCUUUUUCGCUACUCUGCUCCUCUUAUCUAUUUUUCAAGGAAUAUCAAUUAGGAGUAUUCAAUAUUUAAGCAUAUUUUUUAAAAAUAUUUACAACAUUUCUUUUACUAGAACUUUACAUUAUGUUAUCAUUAAAAUACUUUAUAAAAUUUUAUUUUUCUCGAAAAAUCAACUGAAACUGCCGAUAAUGGAGGCGAACAAGGUCAAAGGCACGGUGGGAAAAGGAUUAAUCAUGACAUCUAUUUUUCGACACCAAAAAGUUUGAUUCAAGACAUUUUUGUGAAAAUAUUAAAUAAUUACUAUUAAUAUCUUUUUUAGAAUAAAAUUUCUAUUAAUAUCUAAUUAGAAUAUAUAAUCAUUUGUUUAUCAUUUAUCUUUUUAUUAAUUAUUAAUUCAUUAUUAGAGUUGAUUAGUUCAAAGUUAAUUUUUAAAAUAAAAUUUUAAUAUAAUUUAUAAUAUUAUAAUAAAAUUUAUUUUUUAAAAAGAUAUUAAUAAAACAAUAAAUAUAAUAAUAAAAUAUAACGAGGAACAACACACAAAUUAUGAGACGUCGGUGUUCAAAAUUGUUGAAUAUGUGAGAGAAACUUCAAUAUAUUAAUUUAAAGCCGAUCCAAUUUGUUUAUAGUGUCACAAAAACUAGCAAGGAAUUGUUUAACCCUGAAAAAAGGAUUUUUUUGUUGUUGCAUGACUAUCUUUUGAGAAAUUUGCUUCUUAGUUCUUAUGAUCAUAUAGUUUCUUAGGAGAAACGCUUAGCUAUUUUCUUUGAUUAUGAAAAUUAUUCAUUUUAGAUCGAAUAUAAAAAUCAUUUCAUUUUUAUCAAGACUAAGGCGAGAAGAAAGAGGGAGGGGAUUGAGCCACGUGUCUUCUGUUAUACAGCAAAUGGUCCUUUUCAUCUUUGACUUGCUAUUGCUCCAUCUUGCAAAUUAUUUGCCUUAAUCGCUAUUUAAUUUAGACAAAAAGCAUUGCUAAUAACAAACAAAAUUUCUACAAAAUCAGAAACCCUAGGUUUUGGGAUGACAUAUAACCCUAAAAAAAAAAAAAAAGAGUAGUGCUAUUGGUAUAAAUUUUAUCUAGAUAAAAUGUGGUUAAAUAAUAAAUUCAUUUAAAAAUUUUGGUUCAAAAUAAAAAAGAUUUUAGUUAAUUCAUUAUUUUCUCCACAUUGUAGUUUUUUUUUUGUANAAUCAUCAUUUCACCGAUUCCACCCACUUUCCCCCCCCUUCGCACUCUCAUAUGUUGCUGUCCGAAUUUGGGGGCGACCAUUGGUUAUGCCGAAGAAGGAUAAUUUUGUCUGAGAAGAAUCAUAGUAUCUGGAACACUGUUCACAGCCGGCUCAGAGACAAGCUAUCCAAGGAUACAAACAUCGUAUUAGUCUACAUAACUUUCCUAUCGACACCUAAAUGCAAAAGAGGAAUUGUUUCACCAAGCAUUGAUGGAUUAAAUAAUCUAACCAGUUUGUACCAACCGCCAAACAGGAAAAAACAGAAUUUCAAACUUUACACUGACUUUGUGCACAUUGAAAGCCGACUCCCCAUGCAUUUACAACAACAUACAAAACAAAAAGUGAAGAAAUGAGGAUCAAAACUUGUUCACCACCAAAUUGUGAAAGCCACAUUUUUAAAAGUCCUCACCAGGAGGAGGCCACCAUCUUGGCCUCGGAAACUUGAUACCCUUCCUCUCAGCAGUCUCUAUAAAGUCUGCUUUCCCAUCCUCAAAGCCAAAAACAGUACUGAGCCUAUUCACCAACUCCACCCAUCCUUGAUCACUCUUCUUAGGCGAACCUUCCACAACGUCCGAUGGUGGCAAUGGACUUGCCCUUCUCUCCUCACUACUCUUCUCAUCCACAACGUCCUCGUCUUUCCCUACCAUCGAUGCUGGCAAUUGACGCUCUCUUCUCCCGUCACCUCCCUCAGCGCUAUACCUGAACUCCUCAAUUCUUUUAGCACUGUGUUUGAGCUUCGCGACAUCCCUCUCAAUUUCAACACUCGAAUCACUCUUGUCGCAUCUAGCCACCUCCAUGCCCGUGGCAUAUUCAAUUUUCUCCCCAAACCCAUCAAUGGCAACACCGUCUUUCAUCAAGCCACCUAAUGAACCUUCAGCCAUUUUAGAAUCCCUACUGCCUAAAGCAAUAACCUCAUCUCCCUCAGUCUCAUCCAACUCUGUUUCCCCUAACGGAACUGUUUCCUCCAUAGGAACUGUUUCAUCAUCACAUUCCCUCUCAAUUUUACAACUGUCCAAACUCCGGCUUGAAUCAGUCACCCCAAUGCCCUUGGAGCAUUCAAUUUUUUUCCCCAACUCGUGAUUUCCGUUGACGGCAUCCGCAUCCUCACCAUUAGAAUCCCCACUGCCUGAAGCAAUAACCUCAUCUGCCACACCCUCAAAUUCCUCUCCGGCCACCACCCUUGCUCUCUUAGUCUCCGGAUAAUCAUCCAAUCCCGCUUCCAAAACCCUAAC
rnacentral:lncRNA from 1 species